UGGGGAAUAUUGGACAAUGGGCGAAAGCCUGAUCCAGCGACGCCGCGUGGGUGAAGAAGGCCUGCGGGUUGUAAAGCCCUUUCGUUGGGGAAGAAAAGUGUCGACCUAACACGUCGGCACCUUGACGUUACCCAAAGAAGAAGCACCGGCUAACUCUGUGCCAGCAGCCGCGGUAAUACAGAGGGUGCGAGCGUUAAUCGGAAUUACUGGGCGUAAAGCGCACGUAGAUGGCUUCGUAAGUCGGAUGUGAAAUCCCCGGGCUUAACCUGGGAACUGCGUUUGUGACUGCAAGGCUGGAGUACGGCAGAGGGGGGUGGAAUUCCACGUGUAGCAGUGAAAUGCGUAGAGAUGUGGAGGAACACCGAUGGCGAAGGCAGCCCCCUGGGCCUGUACUGACGCUCAUGCACGAAAGCGUGGGGAGCAAAC
rnacentral:rRNA from 1 species